rnacentral:rRNA from 1 species
AAUCAACGCUGGCGGCGUGCCUAACACAUGCAAGUCGCACGAGAAAGGGUAGCAAUACCUGAGUAAAGUGGCGCACGGGUGAGUAACACGUGACUAACCUACCUCCGAGUGGGGAAUAACUUCGGGAAACCGAGGCUAAUACCGCAUAACACUUACGAGUCAAAGCAGCAAUGCGCUUGGAGAGGGGGUCGCGGCAGAUUAGCUAGUUGGCGGGGUAAGGGCCCACCAAGGCGAUGAUCUGUAUCCGGCCUGAGAGGGCGCACGGACACCCUGGAACUGAAACACGGUCCAGACUCCUACGGGAGGCAGCAGUGGGGAAUUUUGCACAAUGGGGGAAACCCUGACGCAGCAACGCCGCGUGGAGGAUGAAGUCUCUUGGGACGUAAACUCCUUUCGAUCGGGAUGAUUAUGACGGUACCGGAAGAAGAAGCCCCGGCUAACUUCGUGCCAGCAGCCGCGGUAAUAC